rnacentral:rRNA from 1 species
UAAGCGAGCUACUUCAAAACAGCUUCAAGAGCCAACCCAUCUCUGUGGCAAUAGAGUGGGAAGAUUUUCAAGUAGAAGUGAAAAGCCUAACGAGCUUAGAGAUAGCUGGUUGUUCGGGAAAAGAAUAUUAGUUCUGCCUUAAGUUUUUCUAUGUUACAAAACAAGUCUAAAAAUUUAAGAGUUAGUCAAUUAAGGCACAGCUUACUUGAAACAGGAUACAACCUAUACACUAGGGUAAACAUUAAGUACUUCACAAAGUGGGCCUAAGAGCAGCCACCUUAUAAAAAGCGUUAAAGCUUAAUCUAUUUUAUUAUUAAUCUAACAAAAUCCCAUGAACCCCCACCCCCUACCGAACGACCCCAUAAAAAUAUGGAAGACACCAUGCUGGAACUAGUAACAAGAAUUUAAAAUUCUCCAAAAUGCAAGCAUAAACCGGAACGGAUAAACCCCCGGCUAUUAACGUAAAUGAACUCAUUACAACAACACAACAAGAAAAACCUGUUCAUUAAGACGUUAAUCUAACACCAGAGCAUUUAAGGAAAGAUUAAAAGAAAAAGAAGGAACUCGGCAAACUCCAACCCCGCCUGUUUACCAAAAACAUCGCCUCUUGCCAAAACAUAAGAGGUCCAGCCUGCCCAGUGAUAAAUUUAACGGCCGCGGUAUCCUAACCGUGCGAAGGUAGCAUAAUCACUUGUUCUUUAAAUGGGGACUAGUAUCAAC